rnacentral:lncRNA from 1 species
UUUGAUACAAAACUUAUAAUAAAUAAUUCAAUAGUAUCGGAUAGUACGUAAAUUUAAAAUUUGUUACAUGAUUGAACGAUACCCUUAAACACCAUUACUAAUCAAAUAAAUACAACUUUUGAAUGUACGACUACGUUAGAACAAUAAAAACAAAAGUUAACAAGCAUCACUCAAGUUUUAUCAACACUCACAAGUUACAAGUCUCUUCUUGACCAAUAUUUACUAGUAUAUAUCUUCCAAAACACAGUGACUUGCUAAUUACUCAACAGAAUGUUCAACGUAUAACCACUCGAACCUAUCAGAUUAGAUAACCGGUUUAAUGGUUUAGUAAAUUAACUUGUAUAGAUGCUGUAUAGUAAUAGUAUAUAUACGUUGUACAGUUGAUCAUUUUACAAUUAAUGAGAAUAAACAGAUUAAUAUCUCUAACAAACUUUUCUCAUCUCUCUCAAUCUCAUGAACGCUAACAUGGUAUCAGAGCCAUCAAUGGUGAUUUCUACGUAAUUCCGAUCAGAUUUCGUCGUUUUUGAGCUCGAUUCUUUGUUUCCGCCGAUUGUUUUGAAGAUCCGAUGGUGUCUGUUGCUCGUGGUAUACGGAAAUCGACUCGAUCGAAGUCCUCGACGAGUUCCGCCGUUCGCAAGCAAUCACAGUCCACCGGAAAUGUUGAAUCACCUCCGGAUUCUCCUCCAGUUGCACCGUCUCGUGCUUCUAGAGCUUCGCGAGGUUCUCUCUCUCUUGGAUCUGAAGAUCCGACGCAGUCUCCGUUCUUUAUGCAUAGCGCUGAUCAUCCAGGUUUAAACAUCAUCUCUCAUCGUUUAGAAGAAACGAAUUAUGGUGACUGGAGUGUUGCUAUGCGUGUUUCUCUUGAUGCUAAGAAUAAGAUCGGGUUUAUAGAUGGAUCUUUACCUCGUCCGUUGGAAUCGGAUAGUAAUUUUCGUCUAUGGUCUCGAUGUAACAGUAUGGUGAAGUCCUGGCUCUUGAAUUCUGUAUGUCCUCAGAUAUAUCGUAGCAUUUUACGUAUUGAGAAUGCUUCUGAUAUAUGGCGUGAUCUCCAUAGUCGAUUUCACAUGACUAAUCUCCCACGCACAUACAAUCUCACUCAAGAACUUCAGGAUUUUCGUCAAGGAUCUUUAUCUCUCUCUGAAUAUUAUACUCGCUUGAAGACUUUAUGGGAUCAGUUGGAUAGUGCAGAGGAGAUCAAUGAUCCUUGUACUUGUGGAAAAGCUGCUCGUCUGCAACAGAAGGCAGAGAGAGCUAAGAUAGUAAAAUUCCUAGCUGGAUUGAAUGAGUCUUAUGCUAUCAUUCGCAGACAGAUUAUUGCUAAGAAAGUUCUUCCUAGUUUAGCUGAGGUGUAUAACAUUUUGGAUCAAGAUAACAGUCAACAAGGGUUCUCAAAUGUUAUUGCUCCACCUACAGUUUUUCAAGUCUCUGAGAGUGUUCCUGCCAGCUCUGUUUUUGUUUCUAACCCUGCAGAUCAAACCAUAUGCUAUGUUCAGAAUGGUCCUAAUAAAGGAAGGCCAAUUUGUUCAUUUUGCAAUCGUGUUGGUCAUAUUGCAGAAAGAUGUUACAAGAAACAUGGCUUUCCCCCUGGUUUCACUCCUGCUACAAAGAAACAGUCUACUGAGAAGAAUCAGAAAUCUCAACCUCUGGCUGCUCAAGUUGCUAUGAUGCCUACAGAACCUGAUAGUUUGGAAUCUAUGAUUGGGAACAUGAAUAAAGACCAGCUCAAACAGUUCAUUGCUAUGUUCAGUUCUCAGCUUCAGUUUCAACCAAACAAUACCACAGCUGUAGCUUCUACUUCCAAUUCCACUAAUACUGGUAUUUCUUUCUCUCCAUCUACCUAUUGUUUUGUUGGAAUCUUGACUGUUGCCAAUAAGACUCUAUCCUCACAAUCAUGGGUGAUAGAUUCUGGGGCUACACAUCAUGUUUGCCAUGAUAAGAGUCUCUUCUUGAUGAUUGAUCCGAAUCUUGUGAGUUCAGUAAACUUACCUACAGGAUCUACAGUCAAGAUUAGUGGUGUUGGCACUGUUAAGAUCAAUGACAACAUUCUUCUCAAGAAUGUGUUGUUCAUUCCAGAAUUUAGAUUGAAUCUCCUGAGUAUUAGCUCUCUCACUGAUGAUCUUGGUUCUCGUGUAAUAUUUGAUCCGUCUACUUGUGAAAUUCAGGAUCCUAUCAGGGGAAUGAGCAUUGGGAGAGGUAGGAGAGUGUCAAAUCUAUAUGUGUUGGACAUUGAAGAAACACCAGUCUCAGUGAAUGCAGUUGUGGAUAUCAGUUUAUGGCAUAGAAGACUUGGUCAUGCUUCUUUACAGAGAUUGGAUGUCAUUUCUGAGUCUUUAGGAACUACCAAGCAUAAGAAUAAAGGAACAGAUUUUUGUCAUGUCUGUCACUUAGCUAAGCAGAGGAAGUUGUCUUUUCCUUCUCCAAAUAACAUUUGUAAUGAAACCUUUGACAUGUUGCAUAUUGAUAUUUGGGGACCUUUCUCUGUGGAAACAUUUGAUGACCAUUCAAGAGCAACAUGGAUUUACUUGUUAAGGAAUAAGUCAGAAGUCCUCACAGUAUUUCCAGCUUUUAUUCAACAAGUUGAGACUCAGUAUAAUAAGAAGGUAAAAGCAGUGAGAUCAGAUAAUGCUCCUGAGUUGAGUUUUACAAGCUUCUAUCAACAAAAAGGGAUUAUGUCUUUCCAUUCCUGUCCAGAAACUCCUGAGCAGAAUUCAGUAGUGGAGAGGAAGCAUCAACAUAUUCUGAAUGUUGCUAGAGCAUUGAUGUUCCAAUCUCAGGUUCCUUUGUCUUUUUGGGGUGAUUGUGUGUUGACUGCAGUCUUUCUCAUCAACAGAACACCAUCACCGCUUCUUGCUAACAAGGCACCAUAUGAGAUUCUCACUGGUACACCUCCUAAGUAUGAUCAGAUCAGAACGUUUGGAUGUCUUUGUUACAGUUCAACAUCACCAAAACAGAGACACAAAUUUCAACCACGAUCAAGAUCAUGUGUGUUUUUGGGCUAUCCAGCUGGUUACAAAGGGUAUAAGUUGAUGGAUUUGGAGAGUAACAAAGUUUUUGUAUCCAGGAAUGUGAUUUUUCAUGAAGAUGAGUUUCCAUUGGCCACAUCUCAACAGUCUGAGGCAUCUCUGGAAUUUUUCACACCAAUGGUUCCUGUGCAUACAACUGAACAGCAAACUCCUCUUCCUUCUUUUCAUCCCUCACAAAUUUCUGAUAUAUCACUACCCAUUUCUUCACAAAGAAUUCGGAAACCUCCUGCUCAUUUGUCUGAUUAUCAUUGCAAUUCUAUGCAAUCUCUUUUCAAAUAUCCUAUUUCAUCUACUCUUUCUUACUCUAAAAUUUCUCCUUCUCAUUUGUGUUAUAUCAAUAAUAUCACAAAGAUUCAUAUUCCAAAUUCAUAUGCUGAAGCACAGGGCACCAAAGAAUGGUGUGAGGCAGUUGAUGCAGAGAUUGGUGCAAUGGAAUCCACUAAUACAUGGGAAGUGACAACAUUACCACACGGGAAGAAAGCAGUAGGUUGUAAAUGGGUGUUUACUGUGAAGUUUUUGGCAGAUGGUACACUUGAGAGAUAUAAAGCAAGGUUAGUGGCUAAAGGUUAUACUCAGAAAGAAGGUUUAGAUUAUACUGAAACCUUUUCUCCUGUCGCUAAAAUGGCCACUAUCAAGCUAUUGCUCAAAGUAUCAGCUUCUAAGAAAUGGUUUCUGAAACAAUUGGAUGUAUCGAAUGCAUUUUUGAAUGGAGAAUUGGAUGAAGAAAUCUUCAUGAAGUUGCCUGAAGGAUAUGCAGAUCGAAAAGGCAUUGUUUUACCACCUAAUUCAGUUUGCAGGUUGAAAAGGUCCAUUUAUGGCCUGAAACAGGCUUCAAGACAAUGGUUCAAGAAGUUUUCAACCUCCUUAUUGAAUUUGGGUUUUCAGAAGACUCAUGGAGAUCAUACACUCUUUCUUCGCAGUUAUGAUGGUGAUUUUGUGGUUGUUUUAGUGUAUGUCGAUGACAUAGUCAUUGCAAGUACGAGUGAAGUUGCUGCAGCCAAGCUCACUUCUGACUUGCAGGCUCAGUUUAAACUUCGUAAUCUUGGGGAUUUGAAGUAUUUCCUCGGCUUGGAGAUUGCUCGUACUGCUGCAGGUAUUUCUUUAUGUCAGCGGAAAUAUGCUUUGGAAUUGCUUACUUCCACUGGCAUGCUUCAUUGUCAACCUGCUUCUACACCUAUGGUUCCAAAUCUGAGAAUGAUGAAGGGUGAUGGUGAUUUACUUGAAGACAGAGAAAUGUAUCGUCGCAUUGUUGGAAAAUUGAUGUAUUUGACCAUCACCAGACCAGAUUUGAGCUUUGCUGUUAACAAGUUGUGCCAAUUUUCUGCUGCUCCACGUACAACUCAGUUGAUUGGUGUUUAUCGUGUCUUGCAGUACAUCAAAGGCACUGUAGGUCAAGGUCUAUUCUACUCUGCUUCUCCUGAUCUUACUUUGAAAGGAUUUGCAGAUGCAGAUUGGGCAUCAUGUCCUGAUAGUCGUCGCUCCACUACUGGUUUCACCAUGUUUGUUGGUGAUUCCCUUAUCUCUUGGCGCUCCAAGAAGCAAACAACAGUUUCUCGCUCUUCUGCAGAAGCUGAAUACAGAGCUCUUGCUCUGGCUACUUGUGAGGUCAUUUGGUUACAGACUUUGCUAAAAUCCUUGCAAGUCUCAUCUGCUGUUCCUAUACUCUUCUCAGAUAGUACAACAGCCAUACACAUUGCUACCAAUCCUGUAUUUCACGAGAGAACGAAACAUAUUGACAUUGACUGUCAUACAGUCCGGGAUCGGUUAGACAAUGGCGAGCUUCGACUACUUCAUGUUCGCACAGAUGAUCAGAUUGCUGACAUCUUAACUAAACCAUUGUUCCCUCAUCAGUUUGAAUAUCUGAAGUCCAAGAUGAACAUCCUUAACAUUUUUGGAGUGUCAUCUUGAGGGGGCCUAUCAGAUUAGAUAACCGGUUUAAUGGUUUAGUAAAUUAACUUGUAUAGAUGCUGUAUAGUAAUAGUAUAUAUACGUUGUACAGUUGAUCAUUUUACAAUUAAUGAGAAUAAACAGAUUAAUAUCUCUAACAAACUUUUCUCAUCUCUCUCAAUCUCAUGAACGCUAACAGAACCCACCGCAGGGUUAGG